GUUCCGACCUUGAAUAUGUGGACAUCUAUAAGUACCUAGGUGUCUGGCUAGACUGCAAACUCUCCUUCCAGACUCACAUCAAACAUCUCCAAUCAAAAAUCAAAUCAAGAGUCGGCUUUCUAUUCCGCAACAAAGCCUCCUUCACUCACGCUGCCAAGCUUACCCUAGUAAAACUGACUAUCCUACCGAUCCUCGACUUCGGCGAUGGCUUCCAACACUCUACUCAGCAAACUGGAUGCAGUCUAUCACAGUGCCAUCCGUUUUGUCACUAAAGCACCUUAUACCACCCACCACUGCGACCUGUAUGCUCUAGUCGGCUGGCCCUCACUACAUAUCCGUCGCCAGACCCACUGGCUCCAGGUCAUCUACAAGUCCAUGCUAGGUAAAGCUCCGCCUUAUCUCAGUUCACUGGUCACGAUAGCAACACCCAUCCGUAGCACGCGCUCCAGCAGGUGUAUCUCACUGAUCAUCCCUAAAGCCAACACCUCAUUUGGCCGCCUUUCGUUCCAGUACUCUGCUGCCUGUGACUGGAACGAAUCGCAAAAAUCGCUGAAGUUGGAGACUUUUAUCUCCCUCACCAACUUCAAACAUCAGCUAUCCGAGCAGCUAACCGAUCGCUGCAGCUGUACAUAGUCUAUAGGUAAAUAGCUCACCCAUUUUCACCUACCUCAUUCCCAUACUGUUUUUAUUUAUUUACUUUCCUGCUCUUUUGCACACCAAUAUCUCUACCUGUACAUGACCAUCUGAUCAUUUAUCACUCCAGUGUUAAUCUGCAAAAUUGUAUUAUUCGCCUACCUCCUCAUGCCUUUUGCACACAUUGUAUAUAGACUGCCCAUUUUUUCUACUGUGUUAUUGACUUGCUAAUUGUUUAUUCCAUGUGUAACUCUGUGUUGUCUGUUCACACUGCUAUGCUUUAUCUUGGCCAGGUCGCAGUUGCAAAUGAGAACUUGUUCUCAACUAGCCUACCUGGUUAAAUAAAGGUGAAAUAAAAAUAAAAAAUAAAUGAAGAACCAGGAAAACAUCAUCUAUACAUCUCCGCAGAGUGUGCAUGAAGAACCAGGAAUACAUCAUCUAUACAUCUCCACAGAGUGUGCAUGAAGAACCAGGAAAACAUCAUCUAUACAUCUCCGCAGAGUGUGCAUGAAGAACCAGGAAAACAUCAUCUAUACAUCUCCACAGAGUGUGCAUGAAGAACCAGGAAAACAUCAUCUAUACAUCUCCGCAGAGUGUGCAUGAAGAACCAGGAAAACAUAUCUAUACAUCUCCACAGAGUGUGCAUGAAGAACCAGGAAAACAUCAUCUAUACAUCUCCGCAGAGUGUGCAUGAAGAACCAGGAAAACAUCAUCUAUACAUCUCCGCAGAGUGUGCAUGAAGAACCAGGAAAACAUAUCUAUACAUCUCCACAGAGUGUGCAUGAAGAACCAGGAAAACAUCAUCUAUACAUCUCCGCAGAGUGUGCAUGAAGAACCAGGAAAACAUAUCUAUACAUCUCCACAGAGUGUGCAUGAAGAACCAGGAAAACAUCAUCUAUACAUCUCCACAGAGUGUGCAUGAAGAACCAGGAAAACAUCAUCUAUACAUCUCCGCAGAGUGUGCAUGAAGAACCAGGAAAACAUAUCUAUACAUCUCCACAGAGUGUGCAUGAAGAACCAGGAAAACAUCAUCUAUACAUCUCCGCAGAGUGUGCAUAAAGAACCAGGAAAACAUCAUCUAUACAUCUCCGCAGAGUGUGCAUGAAGAACCAGGAAAACAUAUCUAUACAUCUCCGCAGAGUGUGCAUGAAGAACCAGGAAAACAUAUCUAUACAUCUCCGCAGAGUGUGCAUGAAGAACCAGGAAAACAUAUCUAUACAUCUCCGCAGAGUGUGCAUGAAGAACCAGGAAAACAUCAUCUAUACAUCCACAGAGUGUGCAUGAAGAACCAGGACAACAUAAUCUAUACAUCUCCACAGAAUGUGCAUGAAGAACCAGGACAACAUAAUCUAUACAUCUCCGCAGAGUGUGCAUGAAGAACCAGGAAAACAUAUCUAUACAUCUCCACAGAGUGUGCAUGAAGAACCAGGAAAACAUCAUCUAUACAUCUCCACAGAGUGUGCAUGAAGAACCAGGAAAACAUAUCUAUACAUCUCCGCAGAGUGUGCAUGAAGAACCAGGAAAACAUAUCUAUACAUCUCCACAGAGUGUGCAUGAAGAACCAGGAAAACAUAAUCUAUACAUCUCCACAGAGUGUGCAUGAAGAACCAGGAAAACAUAUCUAUACAUCUCCACAGAGUGUGCAUGAAGAACCAGGAAAACAUCAUCUAUACAUAUCCACAGAGUGUGCAUGAAGAACCAGGAAAACAUAUCUAUACAUCUCCGCAGAGUGUGCAUGAAGAACCAGGAAAACAUAUCUAUACAUCUCCACAGAGUGUGCAUAAAGAACCAGGAAAACAUAUCUAUACAUCUCCACAGAGUGUGCAUGAAGAACCAGGAAAACAUAUCUAUACAUCUCCACAGAGUGUGCAUGAAGAACCAGGAAAACAUAUCUAUACAUCUCCACAGAGUGUGCAUGAAGACAGAAUCAAAACCAAAGAUUGAUCAGGAAGUUCAUAAUUCCCGCGAUUCCAUGGUAGAGCAUCUUUGGCACGGCAGGAUCAUUGACUACAGAAUACUCAGCUGUAUUGUGACACAACAGGACGCACUCCAACCUCUGAUUAAGAAUCGUGAACAAAUGGGUCAUUUUGUUAUGAACAAGCCAGAAGACAAUCAAAUAACUGGCCAAGUGGAAGUGGCUCAAGUGUUGGUACCAACUACAGAUGAACAUAUAGAUGAAGAGUCAGACGUCAACAUGGACGAUGACCAGUCGACGUUGUACCAACCAUAUUUUCCAGACCAUUGAACCAGUCAUGGGACACCACACUGAGAAAGGGGAUGCAAAGCUGUGGUUUGUACCAAAAGCCCCCUCUGGAUUGUGAUCUGAUGGCUGGAUUUGGGAAAUAUCUCCGUGACGACAACAACAUUCCCCAUUUCAAACAGGAGGUUUGUACAGAGAUUUUACUUUCAUUUAACUGUUUACAUAUUUUAAUGAGAAUUAAUAGAUUUUAAAGUAGUUAUUAACUAUGUAAUUAAUAUUAUUUUCAUGUUUCAUGCCGAGAGAGACAGAGAGGAUCUAUUACAUGAAUUUAUGUUUAUUUGUGAUGGCAGAGAGGGAUUUGGGUCACAGGUGUCACGCCUUGGUCUUAGUAUUUUGUGUUUUCUUUAAUUAUUUGUUCAGGCCAGGGUGUGACAUGGGGUUAUUGUAUUGUCGUAUUGGGGUUUUUGUAGGCAUUGGGAUUGUGGUUGAUUAGGGGUGUGUCUAGUAUAGGCUUGGCUGCCUGAGGCGGUUCUCAAUCAGAGUCAGGUGAUUCUUGUUGUCUCUGAUUGGGAACCGUAUUUAGGUAGCCUGGGUUUCACUGUGUAUUUCGUGGGUGAUUGUUCCUGUCUCUGUGUAGUUUCACCAGAUAGGCUGUAAUAAGUUUCGCGUUCCGUUUGUUGUUUUGUUUAUUCAGUUAUUUAAUGUAUCGUCAUUUCAUUCAUUAAAGACAU